AUGGCUGCCACUUUGUCUCCCAUCAUCGGUGUCCUCCUGAUCCUGCUGCCACUAGCGUCAUCCUCCUCCUACAUCAAGUUGCCGCUCGGAGGCAAGGUCCACCCUGAAGGUCACUUCUAUGUUACGAUGAACGUUGGUGUACCCGCCAAGCCAUACUUCUUGGGCAUCGACACUGGCAGCAACCUCACCUGGCUGGAGUGCCAGCAUCGCAUCUGCAAGAACUGCAAGGGCCGACACCAACCGUACCAUCCAAAAAAGCCUCACAACUUUGUGAAACGUGGAGAUCCGUUAUGUUGUCAACUGCUCAAAGACCUGCCUGGUCAUAACAAGCGUCCGUGUGCCAGGAAGGGUUCAGGCCAAUGCCGCUACAAAAUCCAAUACUUUGACGGGAAGUCAUCAGAAGGUGUUGUCGCCAGGGACAUGGUCACUGUCCACACGGCUUCUCUCCAUCAAGACACGUUGAGAGAACAGAUUGACUUUGGAUGUGGAUACAACCAGCAACCAUGGAAGUCAUCCGUCAUAGAUGGCAUCCUCGGUCUUGGGAUGGGAAGGGUAGGUUUUGUUGCACAACUAAAGGCACACAAGAUGAUCACCAAGGACAUCAUUGGGCAUUGCCUCAGCAUCGAUGGAGGGGGCUACCUCUUUGUUGGGGACUAUAACUUGCCCACCAGCAUAACCUGGGCUCCCAUGAGAAAACACCAGCAUCAUUACUACACACCUGGCCCAGGAAAACUCUCCAUUGAGGGAAAGCACAUAGGCACGGAUAAAUUGGAGGUGGUCUUUGACAGUGGUGCAACAUACACUUAUUUACCUGACCAGACGUACAAUCGCCUUCUUGCAGAAGUGAAAACUACUGUCAGCAAGUCACUUUCGAAGGUGCAAGAUGCUCUGCUUCCUGUAUGCUGGAAAGGGAGUAAGCCAAUCAGAUCAAUAAAAGAAAUCAAGGGGAAAUUCAAGCCACUCUCGUUGGAAUUUGACAACAAGGCAGUCAUGCAUAUCCCUCCUGAAAACUACCUCGUCCACACGUCACACGGGAAUGUAUGCUUGGGCAUCCUUAAUGGAUCAAGGUUUCCUGAAGGCCAAAUGAUGCGAAUUGGAGGUGUGAAGUUGGCAGAUAUUGUCCGGUUUCUAAAACUAUUACACCAUGCAUGCUUGCAGUAA
rnacentral:rRNA from 1 species